AACGAACGCUGGCGGCAUGCCUAACACAUGCAAGUCGAACGACACCACCGGGAGUGGUGGCGCACGGGUGUGUCACGCGUCGGAACCUGCCCGUAGGUUUGGGAUACCUCUCCGACAGGGGUGCUAAUACCGGAUAAUGUCUUCUGACCAAAGAUAUAUCGCCUGUGGAUGGGCCGGCGUUGGAUUAGCUAGUUGGUAGGGUAAAGGCCUACCAAGGCGACGAUCCGUAGCUGGGCGGAGAGGAUGAUCAGCCACACUGGAACUGAGACACGGUCCAGACUCCUACGGGAGGCAGCAGUGGGGAAUAUUGGACAAUGGGCGCAAGCCUGAUCCAGCCAGACCGCGUGGGUGAAGAAGGCCUUCGGGUUGUAAAGCCCUUUUGUUGGGAAAGAAAAGCAGCAGGUUAAUACCCCGCUGUUCUGACGGUACCCAAAGAAUAAGCACCGGCUAACUUCGUG
rnacentral:rRNA from 1 species